rnacentral:rRNA from 1 species
UGGGGAAUAUUGGGCAAUGGGCGAAAGCCUGACCCAGCAACGCCGCGUGAAGGAUGAAGUAUUUCGGUAUGUAAACUUCGAAAGAAUAGGAAGAAUAAAUGACGGUACUAUUUAUAAGGUCCGGCUAACUGCGUGCCAGCAGCCGCGGUAAUACGUAGGGACCAAGCGUUGUUCGGAUUUACUGGGCGUAAAGGGCGCGUAGGCGGCAAUUCAAGUCAUCUGUGAAAUCUCCGGGCUUAACUCGGAACGGUCAGAUGAUACUGCUUUGCUAGAGUGCAGAAGGGGCAAUCGGAAUUCUUGGUGUAGCGGUGAAAUGCGUAGAUAUCAAGAGGAACACCUGAGGUGAAGACGGGUUGCUGGGCUGACACUGACGCUGAGGCGCGAAAGCCAGGGGAGCAAACGGGAUUAGAUACCCUCGUAGUCCCUGAGCGGGCUGGCAAGGCGCAU